rnacentral:rRNA from 1 species
CCCUUAGAUGUUCUGGGCGGCCCGCGCACUACAUUGGCACUGGCAACAAGAUCCUAGAUCUGAUAUUUCGGGGUAUUCUACCAACUGGUGUCGUGACUGGGAUUAACCCCUGCAAUUAUUGGUUAUGAACGAGGAAUUCCUUGUAAUCACGGUUUAUCAACCCGUGUUGAAUGCGUCCCUGCCCUUUGUACACACCGCCCGUCGCUCCUACCGAUGAAUCGUCCGGUGAAGUUCAUGGAGUCGCGGCUGCUCCAGCUGUUUUCGAAGUGAAAUGGACCUCAUGAUUUAGAGGAAGGAGAAGUCGUAACA